rnacentral:tRNA from 1 species
GUUUGAAUAGCUUAAACAAAGCGCAGCACUGAAAAUGCUGAGAUGGGCCCUAAAAAGCCCUUUAAACA